rnacentral:sRNA from 1 species
UAUUCUGCCCCACGGGGAAGGAUGAGAAGCUUCGACCAAGGUUCGACUCGAGCGAAACGAGAGAACGUUGCCGCAGGCAACGGCCCGAAGGGCGAGGCGCUUUAGCGCCGAGUAAUCCUUCCCCACCACCA